rnacentral:rRNA from 1 species
CCUACGGGAGGCAGCAGUGGGGAAUAUUGCACAAUGGGGGGAACCCUGAUGCAGCGACGCCGCGUGGAGGAAGAAGGUCUUCGGAUUGUAAACUCCUGUUGUUGAGGAAGAUAAUGACGGUACUCAACAAGGAAGUGACGGCUAACUACGUGCCAGCAGC